CACUUAUGAGUUAAUGUGAUAAUCAUGUGUAAAAACUCUUUUCAACUAUUAUUUUUCACAAAAUAAUUUGGCGGAUCAGUUUGCUCUGAGCGCUUGUGUUGUUUACCAAGAAAAUGCAGCCCUGUUGGUUUUUAUUUCUGUAUCGCCUCGCGGUGAGUUCUAUUUCUUGGUAAUUCGGUUUGUGAAAUGACUAUUAAUUACAAGCACAGCAUCAUCAACGGUGAUUGCAAGAACUACUGCAAUCCCUGCGGUUUUUCCUCUUAGUAAAUGCGUUCUGGUCGUGACCAAGGGCAGUCUCCCAAAUCGGCCGGGCAUAAGGAUUUUGUUGCAGAACAAAACGCCCCAAACCACUGCUGUGGUAAAUAUGUUCCAGCAGAGCUGCCCACCGCCGUCGGUGUAAUGAUUUCGAUAGCUGAACAAACGCCAUCUCCUGGGCAUUCCCACAGCUUGCCGACACUAGCUAUUAUAUCACGUGUGAAUGCAACUGCGGCUUAAUUUGGUUAUUAACAGUGCAAUAGUACUAUGCCAUUGGCAAAAACACU